UGCUUACACAUGCAAGUCGCACGGGCAGCAAUGUCAGUGGCGGACGGGUGAGUAACGCGUAGGAACGUGUCCUGAGGUGGGGGACAACCCCGGGAAACUGGGGCUAAUACCGCAUAUGGGCUGAGGCCCAAAGCCGAGAGGCGCCUUUGGAGCGGCCUGCGUCCGAUUAGGUAGUUGGUGGGGUAAAGGCCUACCAAGCCUGCGAUCGGUAGCUGGUCUGAGAGGACGACCAGCCACACUGGGACUGAGACACGGCCCAGACUCCUACGGGAGGCAGCAGUGGGGAAUAUUGGACAAUGGGCGAAAGCCUGAUCCAGCAAUGCCGCGUGGGUGAAGAAGGUCUUCGGAUCGUAAAGCCCUUUCGACGGGGACGAUGAUGACGGUACCCGUAGAAGAAGCCCCGGCUAACUUCGUGCCAGCAGCCGGGGGUAAUACAA
rnacentral:rRNA from 1 species